AAUACUUGAAUGCCGAGGAAAUUAUGGGGAUGCUGAUUAAUUCAGCUCCAGCAUGCUGAGACAUGUGGGAUCGCAUAACGGAGAGGUAUUCUUUU
ncrna:unclassified sequences DTF3800-VII RNA